ACCGACCAGGCUAUUAGAUGUUGCUACACAGCGCUGGUCACAAUGUGCUUUGCAUUCUUUUAGCCUUCGAAUGACGCCACCCCGCUGGCUAAGCGAGCAGGCCAACAGAAGAAAGAGUGGGAGAAAAUUGUGGCGAAAGAGUACAGCAGGGAUCGCCACCACCCCCUGCCAGAGCCUCGUGGAGCUUUUUAGGUGUUUUCGCUCAAUAAACACUCACAACGCCUGGUCUGGGAAUUGAAACCGCAAUCCGACGACCGUGAGUCCAUUGCCCUUACCACUGGGCCAUUGCGCCUCCACAUAUAUCUAAUAUAGAAAACAGAAAUAUGUUUAUCUUUCUUUUAUUUGUUUCAGUCAUUGGACUGCAGCCAUGCUGGGGUACCGACUGGAAUGGGUUUUUUCCAGGGGCUCUGAAUCAUUUUUUAUCUAUGCAUCCCUUUCGUUACUAAUUUUUUUUUAAUUUGUGGAUCCCCCGACCAUAAAACAUUUAAAAACCAGUUUUUUCAGGAGGACUAGCAGUUUGCCAAUAAAUAUGAUUCUUCUCUCUCUACACCACCAGUGUUGUCCUUGUCCUUUCCCAAACUUAACCAUUGAAGCACUUGGCCUGCUUAACUAUAAUUAUAUAUAUAUAUAUAUUGGUAAAAACGGUAAGAUAACAAAAGAAAGAAAGAGACCUCAAUAUUAUGUAAAUAGAGGAAAUUUAACUGUAAAAUAAUAUGUGACAAUUAUUCAAUAGUCUAGAUAAAACUCUGAGUUUCAGAUGCCGAGGUAGAAAUGCACAACACCAUCUCUUCAGUUAUCUGGCCAUCUUUUUUUUUUCCAUAGCGUUUUUUCAGAUGGCCAGAUAAGCUAAGUUAAUUUUUUGGCUCAAAAAGCAAGGCCAUGUAGGGGGACAUGGAGUUAUGUACAGGGAGGGUGUUCAUGCAAAGAGUUCAGGCCAUUUCUUCAGAUAACCGAAGAGAUAGUGUUGUGGAUUUCCACCUCGGCAUCCGAAACUCAGAGUUUUAUCUUGGCUAUUGAAUAAUUGUCACAGAUUAUUUUAUAUAUAUAUAUAGAUAGAUAGAUAGAUGCACACACACACAGACACUAUAUUUUUAAUGUAGUGGAUUAAAAAUCAAAAACUUGAUGAUGUGAGAUUAUAUAUCAUCAUCAUCAUCGUUUAACGACCGCUUUCCAUGCUAGCAUGGGUUGGACGGUUUAACUGGGGUCUGGAGAGCCCGAAGGCUGCACCAGGCCAGUCAGAUCCUGCAGUGUUUCUAUAGCUGGAUGCCCUUCCUAACGCCAACCACUCCGAGAGUGUAGUGGGUGCAUUUUAUGUGCCACCGACACAGGUGCCAGACGAGGCUGGCAGACGGCCACGCUCGGAUGGUGUUUUUUUAUGUGCCACCGACACAGCUGCCAGACGAGGCUGGCGAACGGCCACAUAUAUAUGUAUAUAUGUAUAUAUGUAUAUAUAUAUAUAUAUAUAUAUAUGUGUGUGUGUGUGUGUGUGUGUGUGUAAAACUGCUCUUGUCCUCUCCCUCUUUGGCAUGGCUGUCCUAUCCCAACCUACAACUCCUCUGUAUGCAGUACUCAUGUCAACUUUCACUUUCACUUCUGAUGUAUAUAAACAAUCACUCCUACCCUAACACAAACUCUCUAUCUCUCUCUCUCUCCUUAUUAUCACCACUGGACUAUAUAACAAUACAACCAUCCACCUUUCUCUCUUUCUCGCUCAUUGCUAUACUACUACCUCUGCUCUCUAUGCAUGCAACCCUCUCUUUUCUAACAGCUACCCCCACCUUCUCUAAUAGUCUAUAAGCCGUAGCACAACAACCACUUCUAGCUCCAUCUCUCUUGUUGAGAUAAACUCAACCACCAGCACUACCACUUUCACUACCUCCCUCUCUCUCUCUCUCCCUCCCUCCUAUUCUAAUCUUUGUCCUCCCACUGCCUCAUUUCUUCAUAUUUGUAACAUUUAUAUAAAAAGAAACUUGCUUAAAAAUACAAUAAAACAAAUAAGAAAUUGAU
rnacentral:lncRNA from 1 species